UGCCAGCCGCCGCGGUAAUACGUAGGAGGCGAGCGUUGUCCGGAGUUACUGGGCGUAAAGGGUGCGCAGGCGGCUAGAUACGUCGAUGGUGAAAUCGCUCGGCUCACCCGAGGGGGGUCCGUCGAAACGGUCUGGCUUGAGGCUCGCAGAGGGGCGUGGAACUCCGGGUGGAGCGGUGAAAUGCGUAGAGAUCCGGAGGAACACCGACGGCGUAAGCAGCGCCCUGGACGAGACCUGACGCUCAGGCACGAAAGCUGGGGGAGCAAACAGGAUUAGAUA
rnacentral:rRNA from 1 species